UGCCCCUGGACUCGGGCACGAAAGACAAGACUUUCUUGAACACAAGGUCCCUCGGAACACACGAGGCUUGACCCUCUUAUCGCGUGCUUUCGUCACUCUCUGCUGAUGUAACUGACCAUGCUACAUGGCAGUUGAUCUCUUCUUUUUUUCCGUCGAAUUCAGCAUUAGUCAACUUGGGACUUUGAGGGUGCUAUCUUUCUUUUGUUUUUUUUUCUUUUGAUUUUGCUUUUGAUUUUGCUUUUGAUUUUGCUUUCUUUUGAUUUCUUUUGAUUUUGCAC
rnacentral:lncRNA from 1 species